GUCAUGGUCGUCGGCCGGGGGUCUGGGGAGUCAUCGACCGCGCGGCGACCGUGGGGAAGGGCUGGGUGCUGCGAGCCGUGGCGCGCGGGUGCAGGCAGCGAACGCCCUGCAGGGCAAGAGAUGUUGUGGAGUGAGGAGACGAAGGAACAGGGUUGCUGUCUUAGAAAAACUCCUUUGAACUGAGGAAAGACGGUGGAGAAGCUGCAUAUAUGUCUUAAAUCACUGAGAAGACCACCAUCCAGCAAUGAAUUCUAUUCAACUUCCCAGGAUAACUUCUUGAUGCAAAGGAAGAGCCUUUGCUGAUUCAGAUGAGAUUCCAAAUGUUCCUUCCCUCUCCAAGUAUCCUUAUACUCAGUGAAAAUCACGGAAGGAUCCACUUUCAGACUCUGGUCCUAUAAUCCAGUGGGUAGAAAUUAUAAGGCCUUUACAAGGCAUUACAAGACAAGAAGAAAGAGAAAAAGGAGUAAAUAUCUAGCAAUGAGAUUCUAAAUACUUUGUAUCAAAUUAACUACCACUAACACCUUGAGUAUUUGUACCAAGAAUCAUCCAAAUACAUAUGAAGAAAAAUGAAGUUGUUUUCAUUUAAAAAAGGUUUGUAGCUGAAGUUUUCUCCAGUCCUGCCUGGCCCACGGUCAGGACAAAUCUCUCUCACCCGCCAGUCCUGCAGCUGCUCAGACACAACCGAGUAAACACACUGAGACUUAUAUUGCUUACAAACUGUAUGGCCAUGGCAGGCUUCUAUCUAGCUGUUCUUAUAUCUUAAAUAAACCCAUUUCUAUAAAUCUAUACCUUGCCACAUGGCUCGUGGCUUACCAGUAUCUUACAUGUUGGUACUCAUGGCGGUGUCUGGCAGCGUCUCCUGACUCCGCCUUCCCGUUCCCAGAAUUCUCCUCUCUGCUAGUCCCACCUUUACUGCCUGCCUGGCUACUGGCCAAUCAGUGUUUUAUUUAUCAAUAAAUCAUAGCAACAUAUAUUCACAACAUACAGGACAUCCCACAGCAGAGGUUUGCAAGAAAUUAUUCUAAACAAGAGACUAUGUGUUAUAAAAGGUAUAGGACACUGCUGGAACUACAGAGAGACUUUUCUACAAAAUGGGGGGUGGGAUUAUUAUAUUUGGUUGUUGUUGUUUGGUUUUGUUUGUUUGUUUCUCCUUAUACUGGCAAAGGCUCCUGGGACAAUACAGAAGAUAUGUUGGUACCAAAGAACAGGAUGGCUGAUCUGGAUAGGGUUUGGUCCUUUGGAUUUGAGCCUGUCAGCUUGCAGACUGCCUGGCUCCUCCUUGACUGGGGGCCUUUUCUUCCCUUCUGCACCUCCUAUCCUGAGGAACUCCAGCCAGCCUCCACCUUGAGGAAAAUAUAUCAUCCUCCUCAUUCUCCCUUCCCCUUCUGCUAGUUAGUCCUUCAUAUAAGGAAAGACAAUACACUCCCCAAAAAGAAAUACACCAGGCCAGUGCUCCAAAUGCCCUGUGCCUCCUCCUAGCAAGAUUUUCAUAGCAACUUGUUGUGCAUUAUGCUCAUUGGUUAAUUUUUUAUUCAAAAAGCAGACAGGCCAGUAGUUGGGCAGGAAGUUAGGGGGAAAACCAAACUGAAUGAUGAGAAGAAGGAGGGCAGAGUCGAGAGAGAGAGAGAGAGAGAGAGAGAGAGAGAGAGAGAGAUGCCAGCUAGCCACAGAGCAAGCAGGACAUGUAGAAAAUGAGGUAACAAGCCAUGAGCCACAUGGCAAAACAUAGAUUAAUAGAAAUGGGUUAAUUUAAAGUGUAAGAGCUGGCUAGUAACAAGCCUGAGCUAUCGGCUGAGCAUUUACAAUUUAUAUUAAGUCUUUGAGUCAGUUAUUUGGGGAGCAGCUGCUGGGAUGGGGAGAAAGUGGUUGAGACAGGAAACAUAACUAGUCCUGAGUUUUACUUUAACUAACUCUCCACCCCUAAACAUGGUCAAUUAGGUUGUUUGGUAUUGACCUUUAUACAGACAGAAUCAUUUAAGUGUUUUACUCUUGAUUCCAUUCCCUGACAUAAUGUUUGUGCUGUUUUUCCAUGUUUGCAUGUAACCGAAGGCUUGUACUUCUUUGCUAUGAAAAUAGCACAAUGUAUGUACCUAUGGUCAUGCAGAUAGACAACUAGGCUCUCUGUAGUUCUGACUAUAAUUAACACUGUUCCAGAGAUCAUGUUGUACCCUUUGUGUGAAUAUGCACACAUUGUGGAAGGUGUAAAUGUAGCAAUGGUAUUUUGAGGUCAUAGUAUGUGAGGGUCAGCUUUUGUCAAUAGUGCUGGUUUCCAGAUUUAUUGCAACAGUGGUCAUCACUGUCAUAAGCUUCUCUUAUUCUUCACAGCCUUGAUAUAGAACAUAUGACGAGAAUUUUCAAAGCAAAUAUUGUCAUGAAUGCAGUAGCAAUCCCGAGGAAUAGGAUUAUACUAAAAAAAAAAAUAACUAUUGAAGUUGUGUAAGUUUUCUUGUUCUUAUUUUCCAUUUGGAGUCAAUUCAAAUCUCUUACAAAAUUUUAUCACUGGUUAUUUGCUUUGUAAAAAAAUUUAAUAGAAUAUUUAUUUUAUGUUUACAGUGCUUUGUCUGGAUUCACAUACCGCAUGUACAUAUCUAGUACCCUUAGAGGUCAGAAGAUGGCAUCAGAUCCCCUGCAACUGGAGUUACAGAUGGUUGUGAGCUGCCGUGUGGGCACUGGGAACUGAAUGUGGGUCAUCUAAAGAAUGCCAGUGCUCUUGUCCAUUGUACCGAUCUCUGGGCCCAGUUAUUUAUCCCUUUAAAAACUCAGUUACACAUCUCUUUGAAUUUCAGUUUGCUAGCUCUUCAUUAGAUUUCAAAACAUCUUCUUCCACUCUGGGCCUAACAUUUUAGAGCAGUGGUUCGCAACCUUCCUAAUGCUAUAGCCCUUUAAUAUAUUUACAGGUCAUGCUGUGGUGACCCCUCAGCCAUAAGAUUAUUUGUGUUGCUACUUCAUAACUAUAAUUUUGCUACUGUUAUAAAUUGUAAUGUAAAUAUCUGAUAUGCAGGAUAUUUUAUAUAUGACCCCUGUGAAAGGGUCAUUUAACCCUCAAAAGGGUUGCAACCCACCAUUCUUUUAGCCUGUCUAGCGACCCACCACUCUAUUAGACUGUCUAGAUAUCUCAAAGUAAACAGAAGUUUUAAAACAUAAUAUAACCAAAUUAGUCUUUGUCAUAAUUAUAUUUUUAAUGUCCUGCACAGAAAGUUCACUUGUACAAUUCAGAAAUUAAUUGUUUAGCUUUGGCAUUUAAAUAUGAUACACUCAGGUUGAAUUUUUUGUUUUGUUUUUCAUUUUGGUGUAAGGAUGAGAAGAUGAGGCAAGAAUAGUCUUCCCUUUCAAUUUAAAUGCUUAUCUAUUCACCAAUCUAUUCUUCUAUUUGCUUAGUUAUCAAUAAUUAUGUCAACAUCAUACUGUCCUGAUUGCUAUAUUACACUGUCCUGAUUGCUAAGUCCUAAAAACAAAUUUUAAUUGCCAUUAAAGGAAAGCUUUUCAUCCUGAUCUUUUUCAAAGAUUGACUUAAUCUAUGAUGAAAUUAGCUUCUAGAAUUCUACAACGGCCAUUUGGGAUUUUCAUUGGAUUGCAUUUCAUCCAUAUGUCAAUUUGGUUAGAAAUCAUAUUUUUAAAUGAACUUUAUCUUAAUUAGGGUUUCUGCUGCUAUAAUAAUCAUCAUGAUCAAAAGCAACUUGAGAAGAAAAGGGUUUAUUUCACCUUACAGGUUUCUUGAAAGAAGUCAGGACAGGAACUCAAGGCAAGAACUCUGCAGAAGGAACUAAAAUAUAAACCAAUGCUGGUUACUGGCUUGCUUCCAGGGCUUGCUUAUCCUGUUUUCUGCUAUCGCCCAGGAUCACAUGCCCAGGAAUGGGCACUGUCCACACUGAAAUCAAGAAUAUGUCCCACAGACUUGCCUACAGGCAAUCUAAUGGAGGUAUGUUCUCAACUUGUCUUUGAAAUUCCUAUGUAGCUGAGAAUGGUGUUGAACUUCUUAUCCUCGGGUACGUACAUCAGAAAUGCUAAGAUGGAAGCAAAGGAUCCACGUAUGCCAGGUGAGUAUUCUUACCAACUGAGCCACAACCCAGCCUUGUGUCUGUGCAUUUUAAUAGUGUUUUCAUAGAUGACUGGAACUCUUGGCUUAGUUUGCUUUGCAUCCAUUUAGAUAAUUUUUUUUUUUUUACUGAAAACUCUCAAACAUUUUGCUUCACUGUAGAUGAAUUGCUAAACAGUCUUAGUAAAAAAAAAAACAAAAAACAAAAAAAAAAACACGGAACCAGAUAUAGGGGUAAAAACCUGAGAGAGAUCAGAGGAAUAGGAACAGCCACAAGCUAACCUCAUCUCACAGAUACCUCAGCUUCCAAAUGUGAGUGAUUUCCUGUCUACCCACGUCUAUAUGCCUUGCUGUUCUGUCAUCUGAUUUGCUCUCUCUGUCCAGCUACAUCACUUCCUCUUCCUCCCCAGCUCUGUCACUUCCUGUCUGUCUGUACAGACCUCCAGACCUCCAUGGUUAACUAGUGUUGAAAUUUAAGGCGUGUGCCACCACACCUGGCUCUGUUUACAGUGUGGCCUUGAACUCACAGAGAUCCAGACAGAUCCCUGCCUGCCAAGUGAUAGGAUUAAGGGCGUGUACUACUGUUGCCUGACUUCUUUGUUUACUUAUAACACCUUGCUUUUUCCUCUGAUCUCCAGGCAAGCUUUAUUUAUGAAAGCACAAAUAACAUAUCACUACACUCCACUAAUAUCAUAUUCCUAUUUCCUUUAUUUUUCACUUGCUUUUGGAUUGUUAUUCUUUUUUUCCCCUCCCCACUCACCCACUUAUUCCAUGAGGUAUGUUCUCCAUCCUUCUUGACCCUACCCCCAAACCCCAAGAAGAUAUACUUUAUGGGUGACAUCCAAGUACAUCUAUGCACUCAAAAUGUGGCUUGGUUUGUCCAAACAAUGCACAGCCUGAGACUGAACUAUAGGAAGCGUCUGAAGUUUGAAUAUUUAUUCUCUUUAUACCUCCCUUCCAGGUUGUAUGCUUUCUCUCCUGGAAUGAACCCCCACUGUAGUGGGUACCAGCCCCUAGGGCAUAGCCUCUGAACUAGCUUAAGACCUGAGAGGCAUGUACACCUCACUCUCUUCUCUCCCUCGUGGGCUUGGACAGGGUGACUGACUCAGGCAGCAGAAGCAGAUAUCAGCCUUUCAGGGCUCUGUGACGGAUUUGUCUUAUCCUUUUUAGUGAGUUGUUCUCCCCAAUUUAUAUCCUAAUAAAUUCCCUAAUACUCCUUAAGCGACUCCCGUGGAUUUAUCACUAUACCCACUGCAUGUGUAGACAUUCUCUUGUCAUGGAAUGCCAUGGGAAUUUAGGUUCUGGGGCCUGUACUAAAGGUAAAAGUCUGGCUCCUACAAUUUCUGUAAGCAAUUGUACAAUAGCUUUUUAUUGUCUUAUACACGUGGUGUUUAUGCCCUCAUCAACUGGCAGACAUUUGGUUUCCUUCCACUUUUCUUUUGGUUAUUAUGAACAAUGCCGUAGAGAACAUUUUUGUACCUUUUUAUAUAUAAACACAAUUUUACUUUUCUUUGGAAUUGCUGCGUUGGUAACUCUGAGAUUAAUCAUUUGAAAAGCUGCCAGACGUUUCCCAAAGAGUCUGCACCAUUCUACUUUCCCAUCUACUGGUGCCCGAGUGCUCUGAUUUCUACAUAUCCUAGCCUUUACUAUCUUUUCAUUGUAGCCGCUCCAGUGAGGAACAGGUUGUACUGUUUUGAUUUUAAUUUGUAUUUCUCACAUGGUUAAAUUGUCUUAGUCACUUUUCUAUUGCUAUGACAAAACAGCGUAACCUAGGCAACUUAUUAAAAACAGCAUUUAAUUUGCAGUGGGGAUGAUUGUUUACAGUUUCAAAGGGUGAGUCCAGAACAUCAUGGCAUGGAUCAGGGCAACAAGCAAAUAGGUAUGGCUCUGUAACCGUAGCUGAGAGCUUACAUCUGAUCCACAACUGUGAGGCCAAGAUAGAUGUAACUGGCAAUGGUGUGGGCUUUUCAAACCUCAAAGCUUGUCCCCAGUAACAUAUCUCCUCCAACAAUGCCACACCUCUUAAUAGUUCCAGAAUUAUUCCACCAACUAGAGACCAAGCAUUCAAACAUAUGAGGACCGUUCUCAUUCAAACUACCAUAUUAAUGAAGUACCUGUUCAUGUGCCUACCAGCAAUUUAUGUAUCCUCUUUGGGGAAAUGUGUAUUCAGAGCCAUUGCUGUUAGUUUUUGUUUUGUUGGUUGUUGUUGUUUUGUUUUGUUUUGUUUUGUUUUGUUUUGUUUUGUUUUGUUGCAGUGCUGAGGAUAAAGCAAUGGCUUUGCCCUAGAAAGGCAAAUGCUCUAUCACUGAGAUACACCCACUCUAUUUACUAAUUUUUAAUUGAGCCUUUUUCGUCUUUAUUGGCUUCAAUGAUCUUUUACAUAGUCUACAUGAAAGUUCUCUAUCGGAUUUAUGAUUGGCAAAUAUUUUAACAUAUCUUUAAUAGCAUUUCUGAAUCACAGAAAGUUUACUUUUUUAAUGGGAUUGGUUGUUUUAUUUUGGCCCUUGUGGCUUUGGUAGUAUAUCUGCAAAGGCUUUUGACAUGUUUCCUGAGUCACAGGUUUGUACCUGUCUUUCUUACAGGAGUCUUAGUGGCAUUUCUGACUUUUAAAUCUUUCCUACAUCUUAAAGUUAACUUUCGUAUAUCCUGUGAUAGAAGAGCCAAACCUCAUUAUUUUGCAGACAUAUAGGCAGCUUCCCCACUACCACUCACUGAAAACUCAAUGUUUUUUACCUACUGAUUCCAUGACACUCCAGUCAAAAAACCAAUUUGCCAUAAAUAUGAGGGUUAUCUCUAUACUCUUAUUUCUAAUCCAUUAAUUUAUAUGUUGGUGUUGUGUUAAACUCUACUAUUAUUAGCUCUAUAAUAAGUUUUCAAUGUUUAAAAUCAAGAAUUAUGAACUCUCUAAUUGCAUUCUUCCUUUGAAAGAUUACUUAAUUAUUCCAGGUCCUUUGAGUUUCUCCUGAAUUUCCAGAUCAGUUAUUCAAUGAACACAAAGGAGCCAGCUGGUGUUGUGAUAGGAAUUGCACUGAAUCUGUGGUUCAAGUAGUACAGCAUUUUCUUCUUAAUAAUAUUAAGUCUUCCAACAUUUUGUCAUGGAAUAUAUUUCUUUCUUUAGAUGUCUUCCAUUUCUUUCAAUACUAUUUUGUAGUCUCCAAAUUAUGAAGCAACAUUUACUCACAAGCAUUUUGUUCUUACAAUUUCAUUAUAGAUAGAAUUGAUUUUUCCUUUAUGUGUGUGCAUACACAUUCAUGCAUGUAAGUAUGCACAUGCAGGAACACAAGCACAUGUGUAUGCAUACAUGUCAAGCACAGAGUUGGAUGUGUCAAGUGUCGUCUUCUAUCGCCAUUCACCUUAUUCAUUCAUUCAUUUAUUUAUUUAUUUAUUUAUUUAUUUAUUUAUUUAUUUACAACAGGAUUUCUAAUCGAAUCUGGAGCUCACUGAUUCAGCAGGAUUAGCUGUGUGGAGAGCUUUAGAAUCCUCUUGUCUCUAGCUCUCCAAUGCUGGAGUUCCAGGCAAGUGCCACCGUGCCUGGCUUUUUAUGGAACUGCUGGGGAUCCACACCUGGGUUCUCAUGAUUGAUAAGCAAGUGCUAAUCCUGAAAUUCCCCAGAAAAAAACAGUUCCACCCUUUUGGCCAAAUUUUUAUUAAAAUUUUUAAUACUGACCAAGGUGGAGUUUGGUCAGGACCAUCACCUGGAAAGUUUCCAGGUAAGGCGCCUCAAGACACAUGUUGGUACCCAUAGGCCACCAUACUUUCCCAUGAGGCUUUGUUAUUUUCCAAGACCUACAACUCCCAGAAUCUCAGAAAGUUACCUGGUCCUUGGAAGUUACCAGGUAGGGAUUACUGGUUAACUUCAUGUCUAACACAAGAACUUCAGCAAACAUGUGCUCUUCUCAGCCCACAUCCCUCAUUAAUUUUGAGAGAAAUCUAUGUCUCCCCACAUUACUUGUCAGGUUCCUGUUUUUCUUGGGUUUUAGCAGUUUUACUGUAAUGUGCUUUAAGGACGAUUUCACUUUAUUUCUUCUUACAGCCUGUAAGUGCUCUAGGAUCUGUGAUCUAAUAGUCUGUCAGUUUUCUUGGAGCCAUUAUUCUUGGAGGAAGUGGGAAUGGGGGAUGGGUUGGGGAGCAGGAGAAGGGAGGAGAGGAGGAUCUGUGGUUGGUAUGUAAGAUGAAUAGAAGAUUUCUUAAUAAUAAAAAAAGAAAGAAAGAAAGUCAGCACAUCUUCCCCAGAUUCUCCUUUGCUGACUAAACAUCUUGGACUUUACCCCAACACCUCUUUGUUUUAUCUUCUGACUAAUGUAUCGCUCAUUUUAAACUUUUCCUUACUUUGCUCUAGCUGUUUUUUCUAAUGUAUCUUUCUUCAGCUAAGCUUAAAUAACUAUAAGCUUACUCAGUGUGUAAAUUGGUUUAUUCUGUUUUUAAUCUUUAAAGAAUGGCAGAAAAAUCCCAAGUUUACCUCUUAUCUCUUUGAACAUAACAGUGUUAUUUAGAAUAUAGAAGCAGAGGCAUGAACGUCAUUACAAAUUGGACCAGCCUGGUCUAUACAGUAAGUUCUAGACUAGGCAACCACAAACUAAUGCCCUGUCUCAAAAAAAAAAAGUCUAUUUUUCUAUUACCUGCUUGUUUUGAUAGGUUAUAUUCAUGUCAAAUUGUCUUUAACACUUGAUCAUUUAUUUUUUUUAAUUCCUUGUCUGACACUGAUUUGCAAGAUAAUUUUUAAAAAAUAAUUGGAGACCUGGACUGGUGCUCUCUUCUUUUAGAAAGUAUUGUAUUUGCUUUACCAGGCUUGGAAAACACCAGCAGUCUACAGUUUCUUCACAAUUUAAGACUAAAUGUUUGGUCUUUUAAAGACUUACCUACCUGUUAUGAUCAACAGGCAAAGGUCGUAUUUUAAUGAUGUAUUGUCUAUUGACGGAAUCCCAUUCAUUAUUUUCUGUUAAGUGGCUCCCUCCCAUGAAUGCAUAUGUUAAGUAAUCUUCAAGCCUUAUUAAAAACUUAACUUGUAGGAGCAAUAAUUGACAGUUGCCUGCACUGUUGAGAAAUUUCUCAAUCCCUCUGCUAGUACAGUGCAGUUGGUCAUCGUGGUUCAUGUAUAAAUUGUAGCAUAGUUAUGAGUUCUUACACUGCCUGGAUUAGGCUCCUUAAUGCUUUCUCACACCAAGAAUGUUCCAGUAAGUUAGAUAUCUUCCUGCUGGAAAUGCUCUUCUAUUGUGGGAAGAAGAAGUUUGAGGAUUCAGAACUGUCAGUCUGGCACAUUCAUGAAGAGAAAACCACGAGGAGCUUCGGGGAGUCAGCUUUGGUCUCCAGUCCUGGGAGCACAAGUCUUCCUGAAUGUGUCUCAGCACAUGUGCGCAUGCCUGCCUUCAUCAGAUGGAAGCCACACCUGCCCUUAAACCUCUGCACUCCAGACGGCUGCCAGUGAUCCUAGCAGCCGUGCUGUAUUGGAAAUGCAAAAUGAAGCUGUUUAACAGCCCAGCUUUGAUUGCUCUCAGUGGCUAGGUCUAAUUCUCUUGUCACUGACUUUUUUUUUUAGUUCCCAAAUUUGUGUCUCUUAUUUUACUAGCGGUGCCAGUACAUCUAAACCUUUGUAUUUCAGUAGAUGUCUUAAGAGAGCACACAGAGUAGACUUGAAAAGGGGGAAAGAAAAAAGCCACAAACACCAAGUGGUCGGAUUAUUCCCAGGAUAAUCAAGAAACGGCAAUCCCUUAAGGCAGUGGUUCUGAACCAUCCCAAUGCUGUGACCCUUUAAUACAGCUCCUCAUUGUGGUGACCCCCAGCCAUAAAAUUAUUUCAUUGCUACUGUGUAACUGUCAUUUUGCUACUGUUGUGAAUCACAAUGUAAAUAUCUGAUAUGCAGGAUAUCCGUUAUUCGGCCCCUCUAACAGGGUCUUUCAAUCCCCAAAGGCGUUGCAACCCACAAGUUGGGAACCACGAUCCAAAGGAAACACUCUACAGGAACUGAACAUCUGCAGUAGCCUCUAAAAACAGCUGUCAACCAGUGUGCUUGACCCCGGAAAAGGAGGAAAUGUUCCCAGGAACUGCUCACACACUCCUCCAUACAGAUCCUCUUUUAGCUUCAUGUUCUAAGAAAGUUGUUUUUCAAAGAAAACAAAAUACAUCUUCAAAGAUCUAUAAUAGUUACAUAAGAAAACCCAGGGUUAUUAUUGUAGCCCACUUAUGGCUGGCACAUAGACCCCCCCCCUAAAGCCGGUAUUCUGUAGAUGGACAAUUCCCUCAGCUUUAAUUUGUUUUCUUUCCUUACAUUCAGGUCUUGAUUUCUUGUGUGUUGUUACAAAACCAGAGCAGGACAACACCCAAAUGAACAGGAACAGCAAAAUUGAAUAUUUGGAUAUUUUCAUUCUAAUGGCAUAUGGCUCCCGGUUAGAUCGAUAUAGAGGGUCAAUUUGUCAUCCAGUUUUACAUCUAGCAUAGUUAGAGAAAUUGUUACACUAGUUUCAUAAAUCAAGAAGUCACAGGCAUCAGCCCCAUCAAUCCAGUCAAUUUUAGGUUAAGUUUCUGAGUCCUGGAAAUAGACUGGGUUUAGGUGUUAGCUUCACGAUCAUUAGCCAAGGAAAGCAAGGGCUAUCUUUAUCUCAAGUCUUACUCUCUAUUUUAAAGUGCUUGGCUCACACAUGAAUAUGUAUGUGUGAAUCCAUAUAUAUAUAUAUGGAUGCUUGAAAAUUCUAUUUCCUUGGGCAUGUUGUAUACAACUCUAAUUGACUAACUACCAGUAACCUCAGUCACACUGCUGAGUUCCUUCUGAACUUUUUGGUAAUCUAGAUUAUUCUGAUUCUGUAGGUGACAAAAUCCAAAUCCUAUUGUGUACUGUAAUUAAUUUCAACUUUAAUGUAUAAGCUAUAACUUCCAGGGUAAAUGAAGAAAAGUUUGACAGAUUUUACCAUCUUCUCAAACAUCAGCGUGAAGAAUCAGCAUUCCUCUCUAUACAAUCAGAACCAAACAGAAGUUCAAAGAGAACAUUUGAAAUACAAUAUGAGCCAAGCAUUAGAGUGAUGGGGCAAGCUCAUCUGUUCCUCUGGGAAGCAGAGACCCUAGAGAAUGUGAGGGAAAACUGUGUCCAUAGCUGGAGCGAGAGUGGGGCUGAAGCACAACAGAGUUGGGGGAUUCUAAGCUACCCCAUAUGGUAGGUAGGUAAGCAGGUAGGUAGAGGAGCUGGGAGAGUCAGCAGAACUAGAGGAGUGAAUUAGGAUGGAGGAAGUUUGGGGGUUGGCUUUUGCAUACAUGGACUUUGCACCAUUGAGGGAUACCCAGCUGUCUGAGCACAAGGUAGCUGGGACUGUCACAUGAGCCUGUAAUGUGAAGAAGUCCCAGAUGCUACUUCUUAUUUGGGAUCCUUCGGCAGAGAGGCCAUAUUUGCAAGAAUGAACUAGAGGAAACUAGCAGAGGUCUGUCAAACCUUUGGCAGGAAUGUUCGUGGGCAGAGAGGGAGAGGCCUCGAAGUAUUACAGGAAGGGUGCAGUCAGAAAUCUAGGUAGUUAUUACUUCCCUCAGGGGGUUAUUUCUGCUAGCUUCAAGACUGAGUCCUACUGUUUCAGUUAAUGAUAGAAGAUGAAGAAAAUAGCUAGGAGGAGGGGAGUUUGGUAAAUAUGGAGUAGGCCAAGGCAACUCAAUGGACUGGGUGGAAAUUACUUUUUGUUACCAUUGGCUUUCAAGCUUCUUUUUUACGAAUGUUGAUUCAAACUCGGUUUAUUUUUCCAGUGUCCUGGUCUUGAAUAAAUCUAGGUUGGCUAAAUCUAGACAAAUAGUCCCAAUUCUAAUAAAUUGUUACUAUGUAACAUUUAGAGAUAUUCUAAGCCGUGUUUCAGACUAAAUUAUUAAAGCUGAGGUUAUAAUGGA